UCUAAGGCCAACUGUUGGCUGGCUGUGUCACAAGGAGUCACAGAAGUCUGGACAAACUCCCAUGAGCCACAUAGAGUCAACUUUUAAAAUCCAAGCCUGCCUUACUGCCCAGGCGUUCUCUGUGAGAGCUUUACUACCCCAAAGACCAGGCUGAGAGCUUUGGGAAGUUAAUCCCCUCAGGAGAUCCUGUCUUACCUCCGAAGGUUUUGAAUCUCAAGAGGACAGCUGGAUGGACUCUCUGAGGUGCUGCUGCCUUUUCCAGUCUCGCAACUCCAUGAGGCAAUUUCUCAGAAGACCUGUGGAAACACCUCAGCCUGCCACACACCUCCCUCCACAUGACUGGGAGGAGGAGAGGAGGACGAGAUGAGUAAAGAGGAAGAGACUACUGACUAAGCCAUAGAUCUUGUCAGAGGUUUUCAGCAGAGACAUAAUAUUAGGGCUAUAUUUUUUCUUCUUAAAUUUAAUAAAAAAACAAAACUUU